ensembl:processed_transcript RIKEN cDNA B230206L02 gene
AGGGUGGCCUGAAGACUGAGGAGGGGCAGGUCAGGUGCCCAGUCCAGAGAGGAGGAGUUGAAGAUGACAAGCCGCACCCCACCUCCCCCCAACUCACUUGGGACUGGAUCCACCCUGAGGAGCCUCGGGUCAACAUCCUGUUUCCGGCAAGCCCUCCUGGAGGCCACAGAGGGGUGUUUGUUCGCAGUGGGCGACGGGAGAGAUGCUAAUCACGUUGGAUAGCUGGUCCCAGCUGAAGGUCAGGAGGUGGUUCUCUGUCUCUCCGCUUUUGAAUCUGGACUGACCUUAGGGAACUUGACAACCUUUGAAUUCAGAGGAAGUGAUACUGCCUGCCUCAUGAGACCUGCUGAAACCGUAUUCCGAAGCUUUCUUCUAGGUAGGCCACGAGAGAGCACGGGAACAAAACAGAGACAUCCAGAGAGUCAGAUCUGAGAAACAGCACAGUGCGGUGGAUCCAUCAUUUACCUACCAAGAUAACUACCUUACUUACCAUAAACGUGAAUGAUGCAGGCGGCUAGAGGGCUCGCUCGGUAGCUAAAAGUGAUUGCUACACAGGGGUAGCAAUCUGAAUUCAGUCCCCAGGAGCCAUGGAAAGCAGGAAGGAGAUGACCAGCUGCGUGGUUAGCUUCUGACUUCCCCACACGUGCUGUGACCCACACCCACACCAAUAAAUAUAUUUCUACUUUAUGCGUA